rnacentral:rRNA from 1 species
GCAAACAGGAUUAGAUACCCUGGUAGUCCACGCCCUAAACGAUGUCUACUAGUUGUUGGGUCUUAAUUGACUUAGUAACGCAGCUAACGCGUGAAGUAGACCGCCUGGGGAGUACGGUCGCAAGAUUAAAACUCAAAGGAAUUGACGGGGACCCGCACAAGCGGUGGAUGAUGUGGAUUAAUUCGAUGCAACGCGAAAAACCUUACCUACCCUUGACAUGGCAGGAAUCCCGGAGAGAUCUGGGAGUGCUCGAAAGAGAACCUGCACACAGGUGCUGCAUGGCUGUCGUCAGCUCGUGUCGUGAGAUGUUGGGUUAAGUCCCGCAACGAGCGCAACCCUUGUCAUUAGUUGCUACGCAAGAGCACUCUAAUGAGACUGCCGGUGACAAACCGGAGGAAGGUGGGGAUGACGUCAAGUCCUCAUGGCCCUUAUGGGUAGGGCUUCACACGUCAUACAAUGGUACAUACAGAGGGCCGCCAACCCGCGAGGGGGAGCUAAUCCCAGAAAGUGUAUCGUAGUCCGGAUUGUAGUCUGCAACUCGACUACAUGAAGUUGGAAUCGCUAGUAAUCGCGGAUCAGCAUGUCGCGGUGAAUACGUUCCCGGGUCUUGUACACACCGCCCGUCACACCAUGGGAGCGGGUUUUACCAGAAGUAGGUAGCUUAACCGCAAGGAGGGCGCUUACCACGGUAGGAUUCGUGACUGGGGUGAAGUCGUAACAAGGUAACCA